AUAAUGAAUAUCAAAGGUGGGGUCCACAUGAUGGGUAAUCCACAUUAAAGGCGGGCUUCACAUGAUGGGUGGUGGAUAUUGAAGGUCGGUAUAGACAACCCACCUAGGCUAACAACUUAAUGAGGCAUGAAUGAUCCUUAAGAGCUCAUUACCUAAAACUCAAACCUUAACUAUUACUUAAAACCCCCAAGCCCUAGCCACUACCUAAGCGAGUAUCUACGCCUUAACCAUACUCAAGCAUUAGCCAAGCCUUAACAAUCACGCAAGCCUCAGCCAUCUUUCUAAGCCAAACUUAGCUUAAGCUAAAACCACCCCAAAAUUUGUUUGAAUUCAAGGCAAAUUCAAACCAAAUGUGAAAAACAAUAAAAAAAAAAUCCAAAGAAUAGAAGUAAAA